CACACACGGUGCCUGGAUUGCCUGCUACAGGGCCCAAGAGGUCCUGGGGAGAAAUACUUGUCCAGCUGUAACCUCAUGCAGGAGACAGUCUUUUUUGUUCAGAACCAGGAGAAUCUUCACAUGUACACUAUUUACCAAAAGCUGUA